UGGUGUUCAUGCCUUGUUCCUUGUCCCUCGCCAUGCCACAUCCAAGAAGACAUCUGCCUGCCUAUAGUGCAGGUGAGGCCUUACCUGGGUGUGAUGCAAGUGAUGCAAGUGAUAACAUCGGAGCGCUGAUGACAUCCCAGGCAUCAUUGGCAGGUAACACAGGUGAAUCCUGUCAAGAAACAACAUGGACAGAAACUCAGAGCCAAAAGUUCAGUAUCUGGGUGCAGAUCCACUCGCUCGCAGAAACAUGUGCAGCCCCUCCCCUUUGAGCUGACGCCCUGGCCGCGCUUCUCUGUCUGCACCGCCUGAAGGUUCGAAGACCAUCGGGCUGGAGUUUGAUCCUGCAGCUUAAAGGCUUCAUCAGCAAUCCACCCGUCCGUGCUAUUUGUAGAAAAUCUCACAUUUCUCAUGGAAAUCUUUAAAAAAAAAUGCUUGAGGUUGAGAUGGCGUGAGGCUGCAAUUGAACAAGGGUGAAGAAACGUGGAAAGACCACAAGUGGAAGCCUGCAGAAUUGAUGCUCAAGCAUCUGGCUGACUUAAGCAUGGCAGUCUGAUUCAUCACUUCCUGCCACACAGGUCUGUGUUUGGAUCCCUAAUCCAAUCAUCAGAGUCACCAAAAUACCAGACCGCUCAGAGACUAGGCUGCAGGAAAACCCUGAAAUACCUUUCACUUGUUGGUUGUUGUAAUGUGGGUGUGUACUUUCCCUUUGUUUUGUCACAAAUUAGACUUCAUGUUUGGCUACACUUAUGUUUAUACGCUUGUGUAUGUACGCUUAUGUUUACACAUGGGGCUGAGACAGAAGUGUGUCUUUUUUAAUGCUAAAAGACACAAUAAAAUGGGAUCAACUGAAUUAAACUUUCAAACCUA